UUUAUAUUUUCACAGUCCACCAUACACGUUCUGUUGGAAACUGAAGCUGGCACAUCACAGUAAGGAGCUUGAAAGGGAAUGUUAUAACGAGACAGACAAGUCAAUAUUUAAGAUAACAGUACCUAAAAGAAAGUUUUCAAUAACAGGGAAGUACUUCCUCUCUGUCUACGUCGAGAAUGAUGUCAGUGUAGUGUCAAAGAAUCAUGAUGUUUCUGUAAAUAAUGUUCCAGUGCCGCCCAGCAGUCACUCAGCUGCGUAUGUUUUGGUUCCAGUUAUUUCAGCAUUAGUGGUUGUCUCCCUUCUUGUAAUAGGUGGAGUUUAUUACGUUAACCUCCGCAGACGAAGAGGUACCCAUAUAGAAGCUGCAGAUUUUCAGUUCCACAGUAGUAUACAACGGACAACCAAUGACGGAUGGUUUUUAACAAAUGUCAAGGACGUGUUUAGGACCAUUUUUAGUAGCCCAGAUAAUGACAAAAUAAUUGAGAGACGGAGUUCGGAAAAUAGUAAAGGGUACGGAACUAUGGAGAACAUAGCAUGAGAGAAUAUCUACAGCUGAAAAGAAUAAAAAUUCAGGCCAGUGGAUGUGUCAAUAAAACUUGAAAAAGGGUGUAAAAUAUCGCACUGCAAAAUGAUAUCUUGAGAUUUAUAGAUGGUAUUACAUUUAUAUCAUGGGAAGAGAUUAUAUCAUUCAUUUCCAUCAGAUAUUGUAUAUAUUUCACUGUGAAGAUAUAGGUUGAGUCAGAUGAUGAUAGACGGUGUUUUUUUUAGAUGUAUUGCUUUUAAAACGACACAUAGUUUUACAACAAGUUAUUUUUAGAAAAAUAUUGAUUUGUAAUGUAUAGGGUGCAUGCUAGAAACACUCGCUUUUUACCAGUUUCUUUUUAUCUUCUUUUUUUCUUUUUUUUCGUAAUUCUUGCCAUGGACUUAAAUUUUUUCAUGUGAGGAAGAUACCCAGCCAGGUUAUGGAAGUUAGGUUGUUCUUCGCAGAUUUCUUGUCAUAUUUGUAAUAUACUGCACAUGAGAACUUAUCCAUAGCAGUAAAACUUGUAAGUGGAACACUGAGUUACAGUGUUUGUGUGGCUUAAAAAUACAGAAAAAAAAUAAAAGAAAAAUUGUUGUAGAUUAUUUUUAUAGAAAACAAAAUUUAAGUGUCUUUAUGAAAAAAAAAAGGACUUUGCACUGUCUUAAUUAUAAAAGCAUUAUAUUGACCAUCGUUUCUAUUCAUGUAUAGUGCAACCUCAGCAAAGCAACUACCUCUUUACAAAAAAUUUACCGGAGAAAGACUUUUUAAUAGCUAAUACAAUUCUCUAUAGAAAAGCCAAAGUCUUUGCAUGGGAAAAGUUUUUGUUCUGCAGAGGUGUAACUGUAUAUGCUUUGUAUGAUACUCAUAUGAGCUGCGUCAUGACAAAACCAACAUAAUGGGUUUGCGACCAGCAUGGAUCCAGACCAGCCUGUGCAUCCGCACAGUCUGAUCAGU